UACGUAGGGUGCGAGCGUUAAUCGGAAUACUGGGCGUAAAGCGUGCGCAGGCGGUGAUGUAAGACAGAUGUGAAAUCCCCGGGCUCAACCUGGGAACUGCAUUUGUGACUGCAUCGCUGGAGUGCGGCAGAGGGGGAUGGAAUUCCGCGUGUAGCAGUGAAAUGCGUAGAUAUGCGGAGGAACACCGAUGGCGGAAGGCAAUCCCCUGGGCCUGCACUGACGCUCAUGCACGAAGCGUGGGAGCAAACAGG
rnacentral:rRNA from 1 species